rnacentral:rRNA from 1 species
AUUGAACGCUGGCGGCAGGCCUAACACAUGCAAGUCGAACGGUAACAGGAAGAAGCUUGCUUCUUUGCUGACGAGUGGCGGACGGGUGAGUAAUGUCUGGGAAACUGCCUGAUGGAGGGGGAUAACUACUGGAAACGGUAGCUAAUACCGCAUAACGUCGCAAGACCAAAGAGGGGGACCUUCGGGCCUCUUGCCAUCGGAUGUGCCCAGAUGGGAUUAGCUAGUAGGUGGGGUAACGGCUCACCUAGGCGACGAUCCCUAGCUGGUCUGAGAGGAUGACCAGCCACACUGGAACUGAGACACGGUCCAGACUCCUACGGGAGGCAGCAGUGGGGAAUAUUGCACAAUGGGCGCAAGCCUGAUGCAGCCAUGCUGCGUGUAUGAAGAAGGCCUUCGGGUUGUAAAGUACUUUCAGCGGGGAGGAAGGGAGUAAAGUUAAUACCUUGGCUCAUUGACGUUACCCGCAGAAGAAGCACCGGCUAACUCCGUG